rnacentral:misc_RNA from 1 species
AAGUCGUAACAAGGUUUCCGUAGGUGAACCUGCGGAAGGAUCAUUAUUGAAAUAAACUUGGUUUAGAUUGUUGCUGGCUCUGUCGAGUAUGUGCACGUCUAUUCCAUUUUUUAAAAACCCCCUAUGCACUUUGUGUAGACCUGAAUACUCUUCAAGAGAUAUAUAAUCUUGAGAUCUGAGGCUUGCCGUGUAUCGAAACACAGCUCUCCUUGCACGUUCUAGUGUCUAUGUCUCUACUAUUAUACCCUUUAUUAAAACAUAUUGGAAUGCUCCAUAUAGGCCUUUGUGCCUUCUAAAAUAAAAUACAACUUUCAACAACGGAUCUCUUGGCUCUC